rnacentral:rRNA from 1 species
AUGGAUGCGCCGGAUUCCGCGGCGCUGCGCGUGGGGAUCAUCGGGUUCGGCAACUUCGGGCAGUUCAUCGCCGGGGGCAUCCAGCGGCAGGGCCAUGCCGUGCUGGCCACCUCCAGAUCCGACUACUCCGACUACUGCGCCGCCCACGGGAUUCGCUUCUUCAGAAGCCUGGAGGCGCUGUGCGAGGAGCAGCCGGACGUGCUGCUGGUUUGCAGCUCCAUCCUCUCCACCGAGUCCGUCGUCCGCGCCAUCCCCCUCGCCAAACUCCGCCCCGACACCAUCGUCGCCGACGUGCUCUCUGUAAAGCAGUUCCCCCGCAACCUCCUCCUCGAGAUCCUACCGCCGGAGUUCGGCAUCGUCUGCACACACCCCAUGUUCGGGCCGGAGAGCGGAAAGCACGGCUGGAGCAAUCUCCCCUUCGUCUACGACAAGGUUCGCGUCGCGGAGGAAGGCGCUCAGAAGGCCAAGUGCGACCGGUUCUUGAGCAUCUUCGAGCAGGAGGGGUGUCGGAUGGUGGAGAUGUCGUGCGCGGAGCACGACCGCCACGCUGCGGGAAGCCAGUUCAUCACGCACACCAUUGGGAGGGUUUUGGCGCAGCUAAACCUCCAGUCCACACCGAUCAACACCAAGGGCUACGAGACCCUUCUGCAACUGACGGAGAACACGGUGAGCGACAGUUUUGAUCUAUACUACGGGCUCUUCAUGUACAAUGUGAACGCCACAGAGCAGAUGGACAAAUUGGACAGGGCGUUUGAGAAGGUGAAGCAGAUGCUGUACGGCAGGCUGCAUGGUGUGCUGCGGAAGCAGAUCGUAGAGAGGGUCCCCAUGCCCGGAGCCCCGUUGUUGGGAUCGAGAGAAGCCAAGGACAGCCCUGCUGCGAGCAGAGAAGAGAUGAAGCACCUAUCCCCUCGGGUUGCUGAUGUACCCUCCCCUUGUCAUACGUUUUCCCCGGUGGCUUUCAGCACCGUAAAAUGUUAA